GGUGAAUACGUUCCCGGGCCUUGUACACACCGCCCGUCACACCAUGGGAGUUGAUUGCUCCAGAAGUCGGUGAGCCAACCGCAAGGAGGCAGCCGCCCAAGGAGUGAUUGGCGACUGGGGUGAAG
rnacentral:rRNA from 1 species